GCGCGCUACACUGACAGAGCCAGCGAGUUAUUUUCCUUGACCGGAAGGUCUGGGUAAUCUUGUGAAACUCU
rnacentral:rRNA from 1 species